AUUGAACGCUGGCGGCAGGCCUAACACAUGCAAGUCGAGCGAGCGGCGGACGGGUGAGUAAUGUAUGGGGACUGCCCGAUAGAGGGGGAUAACUACUGGAAACGGUAGCUAAUACCGCAUACUAUUGGAUUACCUCUAUGGGAUUAGCUAGUGGGUGAGGUAAAGGCUCACCUAGGCGACGAUCCCUAGCUGGUCUGAGAGGAUGAUCAGCCACACUGGAACUGAGACACGGCCCAGACUCCUACGGAGGCAGCAGUGGGGAAUAUUGCACAAUGGGCGCAAGCCUGAUGCAGCCAUGCCGCGUGUAUGAAGAAGGCCCUAGGAUUGUAAAGUACUUUCAGUCGGGAGGCGUUACCGACAGAAGAAGCACCGGCUAACUCCGUGCCAGCAGCCGCGGUAAUUC
rnacentral:rRNA from 1 species